GUCCUUAUGCUUCUGCCAUGAGUCAUGGGAAGAACACAUCCUGGGUAUUACUGGACCAAAGAGAAUGAAAACACAUAUGGAGCAACAUUGAACCCAAAUUUCAGCCAAGAGCUAACCUCAGCUCCUUAAAGUAUUGUGAGACUUCUUCGUGGCUUCCUUGAUUUCUCAAGAGAAAUCUACUGUGAUUUGAAAUGCUUUCCCCCAGAGCUAAGGCACACAGUGAGAGAGAGAGAGGCAGAGACACAGGCAGAGGGAGAAGCAGG